GACGAACGCUGGCGGCGUGCUUAACACAUGCAAGUCGAACGGAAAGGCCCUGCUUUUGUGGGGUGCUCGAGUGGCGAACGGGUGAGUAACACGUGAGUAACCUGCCCUUGACUUUGGGAUAACUUCAGGAAACUGGGGCUAAUACCGGAUAGGAGCUCCUGCUGCAUGGUGGGGGUUGGAAAGUUUCGGCGGUUGGGGAUGGACUCGCGGCUUAUCAGCUUGUUGGUGGGGUAGUGGCUUACCAAGGCUUUGACGGGUAGCCGGCCUGAGAGGGUGACCGGCGACAUGGGUACUGAGAUACGGCGCAGACUCCUACGGGAGGCAGCAGGCGGGAAUAUUGCAGAAUGGGGGGAAGCGUGAGGCAGCAACGCCGCGUGCGGGAUGACGGCCUACGGGUUGUAAACCGCUUUCGCCUGUGACGAAGAGUGAUUGACGGUAAUGGGUAAAGAAGCACCGGCUAACUACGUG
rnacentral:rRNA from 1 species